UAAAUAUUUGAAGCAGUACCGAGUGGCAGUUGUGGGAAUACACUCUCCACCAUGAGAUCAAUAAUACCUCUUCUCUCCGCCUGUCUGGUAGCAUCGGUAGCUGCCAAAAAAAGUAGCGGUAACUGUCCCGACCUCGACGGCAUAGACAUAAGCAUCAGAGAUUCAUACUGUGACCAGCCUCUCUUUGUGACAUUUGCGCCAAAAACUGAAGAAUACACUUUAGUAGACAACAUUUGUAUCACGUUUCUUCCCGCUUCCAGAUAACCCUGACACUUUCCAAGUCUACUAUUCUCGUGUUUUUUGUGAUGGAUCGAACGACAUAUCUUCACUUAUUUCCACUCAAAUUGAACUUGGGGUCAGUAGAAUAGCAAACCCGUAUUGCACUUUGACGGAAACCAUUUUCGGCUAUGCAGGCUGUGACACGUACCUUACUUACCGCUGCGUCAAUUAUGGAGCCUGCGCGGACGAACAGUCGAAGACGAAUGUGUUUGGGGUUUCUCCGGUAUGCCGCUCUAUCGGACUCUCCUGUCUUCAUAAAGUCGAGGAGAUUGUCAGCGAAAACGGUCUGCCAGAACAGGACUUCUACGUGUUCCCUAUGAAACUUCCCAACCGCUGUGUCACCCAACAACUCUGCCUUCAGCCCCCUAACCCUUUCUUCAAUUCUGUACAUUCGGGAGUCGCCUUAGUAUAGUUACUGAUACGGCCUUCACUUUUUAAAUUUAUUCUGAAUACGUAAUAAAAUUAUUAAAAUAAGUAUAUCUUAUAAAUUCGAAUCUGUAAAGUAUACUUUGUAUGAAUACUUCGCUUUAUUUCAUAACACACACACACACACACACACACACACACACACACACACACACACACACACACACACACA
rnacentral:lncRNA from 1 species